GGGUCAGUAGGUUGGUCGUGCCACCGGUACGUACUGGUCUCACUGAUUCCUCCUUCCUGAAGAACCGUAAUGCCAUUAAUUUGGUGUUGCGGGGAAACAGGACUGUUACUUUGAAAAAAUUAGAGUGUUUAAAGCAAGCUAACGCUUGAAUACAUUAGCACGGAAUAAUGAAUUAGGACGAUCGAUCCUAUUUUGUUGGUUUCUAGGAUUGACGUA
rnacentral:rRNA from 1 species